AUAAAGGACAGUAAAUAAAAAUAAUACAGUAAAUAAAGUAAUAUUUAGGAGCAGAACAUUAACUGUAUUGUGGGGGAUUUUCUGCAGGAUGGUGAGGCAUGGAAGAGACGCUGCCCAGAGGAAUCUGCAAGAAAAACAGCAACCACCCAGAACACCCUAGCAACUGCCUAGUAACCAUAGUGGCCACUCAUCUUCUUGACCUGAACACAUAACUCACCUGAGGAGAACAGCAGGCGUUGGCUUUACAGGCAAAUGCUGACAGACAGAUGGAGAUGAUGAACUCAAGGAGAGUGAAUACCAAAGACACACCACUGAUCCCCC